rnacentral:tRNA from 1 species
GGCUGGGUAGCUCAGUUGGUUAGAGCAUCGUCCCGAUACACCAAGGUUGUGGGUUCAAUUCCCACUAAGGACA